UUGCAGAGGAUGCUUUUGGCGCGGUGCCUUCCGAGUUCCCUGGAACGGGACGCCUUAGAGGGUGAGAGCCCCGUACGGUUGGACACCAAGCCUCUGUAAAGCUCCUUCGACGAGUCGAGUAGUUUGGGAAUGCUGCUCUAAAUGGGAGGUAAAUUUCUUCUAAAGCUAAAUAUUGGCCAGAGACCGAUAGCGCACAAGUAGAGUGAUCGAAAGAUGAAAAGCACUUUGAAAAGAGGGUUAAACAGCACGUGAAAUUGUUGAAAGGGAAGCGUUUGCGACCAGACCUUUUCCUGGCGGAUCAUCCGGUGGUUUCCACCGGUGCACUUCGCCAGGUCGAGGCCAGCAUCGGUCUCUGUAGGGGGAUAAAAGCCCAGGGAACGUAGCUCCUCAGGGAGUGUUAUAGCCCUCCGCAUAAUACCCUUAUGGGGACCGAGGACCGCGCCUUCGGGCAAGGAUGCUGGCGUAAUGGUUGUCAACGACCCGUCUUGAAACACGGACCAAGGAGUCGAACAUUUGUGCGAGUGUUUGGGUGUUAAACCCUCACGCGUAAUGAAAGUGAACGGAGGUGAGAGCCCUUACGGGUGCAUCAUCGACCGAUCCUGAUGUCUUCGGAUGGAUUUGAGUAAGAGCAUAACUGUUCGGACCCGAAAGAUGGUGAACUAUGCGUGGAUAGGGUGAAGCCAGAGGAAACUCUGGUGGAGGCUCGCAGCGGUUCUGACGUGCAAAUCGAUCGUCAAAUCUGCGCAUGGGGGCGAAAGACUUAUCGAACCAUCUAGU
rnacentral:rRNA from 1 species